UACGUAGGGGGCAAGCGUUGUCCGGAUUUAUUGGGCGUAAAGAGCGUGUAGGCGGUCAGGUAGGUCCGUUGUGAAAACUCGAGGCUCAACCUCGAGACGCCGAUGGAAACCAUCUGACUAGAGUCCGGAAGAGGAGAGUGGAAUUCCUGGUGUAGCGGUGAAAUGCGUAGAGAUCGAGAGGAAGGCCAGAGGCGAAAGCGACGACCUGGGGAGGAACUGACACUGAACUACGAAAGCGUGGGGAGCAAACAGG
rnacentral:rRNA from 1 species